AGAUAACUAUGUGGUGGGACUCAGACUGCAAGUUACAAGUGAAGAAAAUCUGUCAAAGUCUCGGAUUGAAGAACUCGUGAUUAUAAAACUCCAGGAAGAAUUUAAAAGACGUGGACUUCCCAGUAACUACACAAUGAACCUGAGAAACUAUCAUAAAAUUGCUCCGUGAGCGAUGACAUCACACACAUAUACAUUACUGCAAUUUUUAUCUAACUAUCGCUCCACUUCUGCAUACCUUUUGCAAUACUAUGAAUGUAUCUGAUUUAGUAUGAAGCUUUAGACAAAUAUAGGAAAGAGUUUUAUUAUAAAUACUUUGUCUUUUUUAUUGGUGAAUAAUGAUUAAUAUAGUCAACCCUGUUGUCUUUAGACAUUUUUAUAAUUAUAUAUAAUUUUAUAACAGUAAGAAUUAAAGUGAUCAAAAACCUAUACAUAUAAGUAAAAAUGGAAUAUCUUAUUUAAUCAAAUUUUUAAUCCAAAUCUAAUAAACUGUAUGUUUGAAACUGUAUCAUUUGUUGUAUGUAUGCAAACCUACUCAGCAUACUGUAUCCCAAAUACAUUGCCAUUCAUCUUCCAUUAAACGACUACUCAUUAUUGGGACUACCGAAUAUUAGGAGUACAAAAAUUAUGCCGCAACCUCAGUACAUUCUAAACAUUGCUCUGACUCUGUGACAUUAAUAAACCUGUUUCACAAACCUUUCGUGAAAAUAACAAG